GUUGUGGCUCAGUGGCAAAGCACUUGCCUAGCAUGUGUGAGGCACUGGGUUUGAUUCUCAGCACAACA
rnacentral:tRNA from 1 species